UGGCUCAGGACGAACGCUGGCGGCGUGCCUAAUACAUGCAAGUAGAACGCUGAGGACUGGUGCUUGCACCGGUUCAAGGAGUUGCGAACGGGUGAGUAACGCGUAGGUAACCUACCUCAUAGCGGGGGAUAACUAUUGGAAACGAUAGCUAAUACCGCAUGACAAUGGAGGACCCAUGUCUUUCAUUUAAAAGGUGCAACUGCAUCACUAUGAGAUGGACCUGCGUUGUAUUAGCUAGUUGGUGAGGUAACGGCUCACCAAGGCGACGAUACAUAGCCGACCUGAGAGGGUGAACGGCCACACUGGGACUGAGACACGGCCCAGACUCCUACGGGAGGCAGCAGUAGGGAAUCUUCGGCAAUGGACGGAAGUCUGACCGAGCAACGCCGCGUGAGUGAAGAAGGUUUUCGGAUCGUAAAGCUCUGUUGUUAGAGAAGAAUGAUGGUGGGAGUGGAAAAUCCACCAU
rnacentral:rRNA from 1 species